rnacentral:rRNA from 1 species
UGGGGAAUUUUGGACAAUGGGCGAAAGCCUGAUCCAGCAAUGCCGCGUGUGUGAAGAAGGCCUUCGGGUUGUAAAGCACUUUUGUCCGGAAAGAAAUCCUUGGCUCUAAUACAGUCGGGGGAUGACGGUACCGGAAGAAUAAGCACCGGCUAACUACGUGCCAGCAGCCGCGGUAAUACGCAGGGUGCAAGCGUUAAUCGGAAUUACUGGGCGUAAAGCGUGCGCAGGCGGUUUGCUAAGACCGAUGUGAAAUCCCCGGGCUCAACCUGGGAACUGCAUUGGUGACUGGCAGGCUAGAGUAUGGCAGAGGGGGGUAGAAUUCCACGUGUAGCAGUGAAAUGCGUAGAGAUGUGGAGGAAUACCGAUGGCGAAGGCAGCCCCCUGGGCCAAUACUGACGCUCAUGCACGAAAGCGUGGGGAGCAAACAGGAUUAGGUACCCUGGUAGUCCACGCCCUAAACGAUGUCAACUAGUUGUUGGGGAUUCAUUUCCUUAGUAACGUAGCUAACGCGUGAAGUUGACCGCCUGGGGAGUACGGUCGCAAGAUUAAAACUUAAAUGAAUUGACGGGGUCAUAGCUGUUUCCU